UUCAAGCCGCUGCCUGGUUCCAGAGCGCGUACUCCCCCUGCUCCACAAACAGACAAGCAAUCUAAGCCCCAGAGAGGCUGAGAAUUUUCCCAAGGCCACACAGUAAAGCAGCAGAGACUCAGGACAAGAAUACGCAAGGCCUUGCUUCCCAACGGGCCACCCAGCAGGUACAAAUCUCCAGGAUGUGCCUUUUUGAGCCUAUGGUGUAGGUGGAGAUUCAGAAAAAUAAAUAACUACUUAGGAGUCGUGAACACAGAACAGAAACCAUUCGGGAGCAGGAGAACGACCACAGAAGCUGUAAAAUGAGGACUAGGCUGUGGAGCUCUGCGAUGCUAUUGUGGAAUGCAUUUCCCCGCACCGCCCUGUCAAAGGAAAACUCGGGCCAUAUUUCCUGCACUAUGAGCCUCGUCUCUGAAAUGGCCCAAAUCUCAUUUUAACGAAUACACAUGAUUGAGUUUGUCUAACUAGAGGUUUAACGACCUGUAAAAUGUAUCACGAGCACCUGGCAACUCUCAGAACUCUCAGCACCUGCACCUCACAACGCAAGGCUCGGGAUUGUGGGAUGUUCAGCUUGGGCUUAUUUAGACGGCAAAGUCCAGUGUUUGGCAGAAAGAAGCAUUUUGCACAAACAUGAGGUCCAUGUAUUGCUAUAACUGAGCGCCAUCAAAUAGCAUGACUGCAGCCGAUGGCAUGCUCUUGUUGACUGAUUCAUUCAUUCAUCCAAUAACUAUUUAUUGAGCACCACUGUGUGCGAGGCUAGGGAGCUUGGUAUUUGGAAGAACAAUGACAACGCCAGUCAAACUACUGCGUGCUUGCUGUGUGCCCUGUGGUGGACUAAGAACUUGGCAUGGCUUCUUUUUACUAAUUUCACCACAAUCUGACAAGGUCAGUAUUACUGUUAUCACCACCAUGUUGCAGAGGAGAAAGACUAAUCAGCCUCGAUUCCAGAUUCCCAAGGAAGAAUCUGAUUGGCCCAGCGUGGGUCAGGUGUCCACCUCUGUUCACAGAUGAGGUGAAGAGGGGGCAGUUGUGGUGCAUCGUUCCAAGCUGGCUACCGUCCGGCAGAAGGCAGUUCUCAGAGGAGUGUGGUCUCCAGGAGCAGCCACCUUCUUCCACGUAUGCUGGUCUGCAGACAGUGGUUGUGGGGAGAGAUGAAGGGACGAUGUCCUCAGUUCUGGGGCCCACCUUGGGAGGAUUCACUGUGGCUUCUGCUAUUGAAUUACACAGGACAUCCCUUGUCCUUAGGAUAAAUUCUCCCUUUUUGAUCAAACUUCUCUGAAGGGGUUUGUGUUACUUAUGACCAAGAGGGCACUGGGUGAGCCGAUCUUGAAAUAACAGAUCUCUGAGUAUUUCCGGGCCUGCCCUGAAUUCUGGCGUCUCCACCUUUGCGGUAAUGUGCCCUGCAGUGCAGCAAACCGAGCCAGAGGAGGAAUGAAGACAGUCCAUGCCAGUCGGGGUGGUUGCAUGGCCCUUGCCAGGGACUGGUGUGCGUGUUAGCCGGCGGCUCAGACCAGGCUGACAGGCCUGCGGAACGUUGAAGAUAUUUUGGCAGUGUCACCUAGAACAUCUCUAGCUAUCAUGGGACCCCUCGCCAGAGGCUUUCCCACCUUCUGAGGGUGGCGGAACAGAAGGUUGGAAAGGAAGCCCCUAUGUCCGUAAUGAUGGCACUGAGCCUUCAAAUUAGCCAUCUUUGGAACUGACCUACAUUAGGGUUCUCAUAAAUAAAGCCCUUGUUGCUUAGUCAUGCAGCCCAAAGUGUCCCAGUUGAUAUAAUAGUCUGUCCCAUAUAGAAAUAUGGGCUCAUACAUCCAAGGAGGCAACAUACAAGUAAUUGAUUGUAGCACCACUUACAAUAACCAGACGUUAGGAAUCGCCUGAACAUGCCUCCAUAGGAACCUGGUGAAAUAAGCUAUGGUCUAUUCAGUUGUUUAUUAAACUACUGAAUUCUAGUCAAUCAUUAGAGACAAAAAAGUAAAUUUAUAUGCACUGAUUGUACGAUGCAAAGAUCCCCGAGAGUAUUCUUAACUUUUUUAGAAGUUGCAAAAUAGGGGCGCCUGGGUGGCACAGCGGUUGGGCGUCUGCCUUCGGCCCAGGGCGUGAUCCUGGC